CCUACGGGAGGCUGCAGUGAGGAAUAUUGGUCAAUGGACGAGAGUCUGAACCAGCCAAGUAGCGUGAAGGAUGACUGCCCUAUGGGUUGUAAACUUCUUUUAUAAAGGAAUAAAACGAGGCACGUGUGCCUUUUUGCAUGUACUUUAUGAAUAAGGAUCGGCUAACUCCGUGCCAGCAGCCGCGGUAAUACGGAGGAUCCGAGCGUUAUCCGGAUUUAUUGGGUUUAAAGGGAGCGUAGAUGGGUUGUUAAGUCAGUUGUGAAAGUUUGCGGCUCAACCGUAAAAUUGCAAUUGAUACUGGCAGUCGUGAGUACAGUUGAGGUAGGCGGAAUUCGUGGUGUAGCGGUGAAAUGCUUAGAUAUCACGAAGAACCCCGAGUGCGAAGGCAGCUUACUAAACUGUGACUGACAUUGAUGCUCGAAAGUGUGGGUAUCAAACAGGAUUAGAUACCCUUGUAGUC
rnacentral:rRNA from 1 species